rnacentral:rRNA from 1 species
GAACGCGUUGGAUCAAAGCCCGUCUCUAUGGCGUGGCUCGGUUAGCGCUUCCAUUUUUUUCUUUAGGUUUCAACGUGCGUUGCCCUCUCGGGGGUGGCGUUGCGUUCCUAAUCGUUUACUGUGAACAAAUUAGAGCGUUCAAAGCAGGUGUCUCUGCCUUGAAUAGUUUAGCAUGGGAUAAUAGAAUAGGACCUUCCGGUUUUAUUUUGUUGGUUUCUAAAGCUGGGGUA